UGGGGAAUAUUGCACAAUGGGCGAAAGCCUGAUGCAGCGACGCCGCGUGAGGGAUGACGGCCUUCGGGUUGUAAACCUCUUUCAGCAGGGAAGAAGCGAAAGUGACGGUACCUGCAGAAGAAGCGCCGGCUAACUACGUGCCAGCAGCCGCGGUAAUACGUAGGGCGCAAGCGUUGUCCGGAAUUAUUGGGCGUAAAGAGCUCGUAGGCGGUUAGUCGCGUCUGCUGUGAAAACUCGAGGCUCAACCUCGGGCUUGCAGUGGGUACGGGCUGACUAGAGUGCGGUAGGGGUGACUGGAAUUCCUGGUGUAGCGGUGGAAUGCGCAGAUAUCAGGAGGAACACCGAUGGCGAAGGCAGGUCACUGGGCCGCAAACUGACGCUGAGGAGCGAAAGCAUGGGGAGCGAACAGGAUUAGAUACCCUGGUAGUCCAUGCCGUAAAACGUUGGGCACUAGGUGUGGGGUCCAUUCCACGGAUUCCGUGCCGCAGCAAAAGCGCAUUAAGUGCCCCCGCCUGGGGGAGUACGGCCGC
rnacentral:rRNA from 1 species